GGUCAGGAAUGAAAACACCAGCUAGUGCUAGACCUUGGCCCGCAGCAUAUCCCCAGCACAUACAUCCUUCUGUUUUGACAGCAGACCAUUGGUCUGAAGCACAUUAGCCUGGAGUCACUUUAAAGCCCAUUCGAAAGGCUGAGAGAGCAACCUAAAGAGGGAAACGUGACCUCAUAUCAAUUAGCUGAAGUUUGCAUGGCUUGUCACUUAAAUUCACACAUGCUUUCUUUGUGGCAACGUCUGCGGUCAAUGGAGACGAGUUGUGGAACGCUGGUGCUUCAUUUCCCAUGCAGGCAGUGGGAAGGAUGCUGAGCGAGUCUGCCCAAGUGAGGGAUGGCUCUCUGAAGGCAAAUAAAAAUACUUCUGUAACAAUUCA